CGGACGGGUGAGUAACGCGUGAACAACCUACCCUUGAGUGGGGAAUAACACCGCGAAAGCGGUGCUAAUACCGCAUAAAAUCUCCGGGUCGCAUGACGUGGAGAUCAAAAGCGCAAGUUGCUUGAGGAGGGGUUCGCGGCUGAUUAGCUAGUUGGUGAGGUAACGGCCCACCAAGGCAACGAUCAGUAGCCGGCCUGAGAGGGCGAACGGCCACACUGGAACUGGGACACGGUCCAGACUCCUACGGGAGGCAGCAGUGGGGAAUUUUGCGCAAUGGGCGAAAGCCUGACGCAGCAACGCCGCGUGGAGGAUGAAGGCCUUCGGGUCGUAAACUCCUGUCGAUGGGGACGAAGGCCUCGCAAGAGGAUUGACUGUACCCGUUGAGGAAGCCACGGCUAACUCCGUGCCAGCAGCCGCGGUAAUACGGGGGUGGCAAGCGUUGUUCGGAAUUACUGGGCGUAAAGGGCGCGUAGGCGGCAUAACAAGUCAGAUGUGAAAGCCCCGAGCUCAACUCGGGAACUGCAUCUGAAACUGUAUUGCUUGAGCUCUGGAGGGGGUAGUGGAAUUCCCAGUGUAGCGGUGAAAUGCGUAGAUAUUGGGAGGAACACCUGCGGCGAANGCGGCUACCUGGACAGUGACUGACGCUGAGGCGCGAAAGCUAGGGGAGCGAAUGGGAUUAGAUACCCCAGUAGUC
rnacentral:rRNA from 1 species